rnacentral:rRNA from 1 species
UACGUAGGGUGCAAGCGUUGUCCGGAAUUAUUGGGCGUAAAGAGCUCGUAGGCGGUCUGCUACGUCGGCUGUGAAAACCUGGGGCGUCAACCCCGGGCCCGUGCAACCGAUACGGGCAGACUAGAGUUCGGCAGGGGGAGACUGGAAUUCCUGGUGUAGCGGUGAAAUGCGCAGAUAUCAGGAGGAACACCGGUGGCGAAGGCGGGUCUCUGGGCCGAUACUGACGCUGAGGAGCGAAAGCGUGGGGAGCAAACAGG